rnacentral:rRNA from 1 species
AUGCAGUCGAGCGGAUGAAGGGAGCUUGCUCCUGGAUUCAGCGGCGGACGGGUGAGUAAUGCCUAGGAAUCUGCCUGGUAGUGGGGGAUAACGUCCGGAAACGGGCGCUAAUACCGCAUACGUCCUGAGGGAGAAAGUGGGGGAUCUUCGGACCUCACGCUAUCAGAUGAGCCUAGGUCGGAUUAGCUAGUUGGUGGGGUAAAGGCCUACCAAGGCGACGAUCCGUAACUGGUCUGAGAGGAUGAUCAGUCACACUGGAACUGAGACACGGUCCAGACUCCUACGGGAGGCAGCAGUGGGGAAUAUUGGACAAUGGGCGAAAGCCUGAUCCAGCCAUGCCGCGUGUGUGAAGAAGGUCUUCGGAUUGUAAAGCACUUUAAGUUGGGAGGAAGGGCAGUAAGUUAAUACCUUGCUGUUUUGACGUUACCAACAGAAUAAGCACCGGCUAACUUCGUGCCAGCAGCCGCGGUAAUACGAAGGGUGCAAGCGUUAAUCGGAAUUACUGGGCGUAAAGGGCGCGUAGGUGGUUCAGCAA